rnacentral:rRNA from 1 species
ACAGUGCCUGGUGGGUAGUUUGACUGGGGCGGUCUCCUCCCAAAGAGUAACGGAGGAGCACGAAGGUGGGCUAAUCACGGUUGGACAUCGUGAGGUUAGUGCAAUGGCAUAAGCCCGCUUGACUGCGAGAAUGACAAUUCGAGCAGGUGCGAAAGCAGGUCAUAGUGAUCCGGUGGUUCUGAAUGGAAGGGCCAUCGCUCAACGGAUAAAAGGUACUCCGGGGAUAACAGGCUGAUACCGCCCAAGAGUUCAUAUCGACGGCGGUGUUUGGCACCUCGAUGUCGGCUCAUCACAUCCUGGGGCUGAAGUCGGUCCCAAGGGUAUGGCUGUUCGCCAUUUAAAGUGGUACGCGAGCUGGGUUUAGAACGUCGUGAGACAGUUCGGUCCCUAUCUGCCGUGGGCGUUGGAAGAUUGAAGGGGGCUGCUCCUAGUACGAGAGGACCGGAGUGGACGAACCUCUGGUGUUCGGGUUGUGUCGCCAGACGCAUUGCCCGGUAGCUAAGUUCGGAAUCGAUAACCGCUGAAAGCAUCUAAGCGGGAAGCGAGCCCUGAGAUGAGUCUUCCCUGAUACUUUAAGUAUCCUAAAGGGUUGUCGGAGACUACGACGUUGAUAGGUCAGGUGUGUAAGUGCUGUGAGGCAUUGAGCUAACUGAUACUAAUUGCCCGUGAGGCUUAACCAU